rnacentral:tRNA from 2 species
GCCUAAAUAGCUCAGUAGGUUAGAGCACCUGACUGUUAAUCAGGGGGUCCUAGGUUCGAGUCCUAGUUUGGGCGCCA